GAAAAGCAGGAAGGCCAAAGACAACAAUGUCAAAACUCAAAGCAGCUUGGCUAACUACAAAUAGUUAUAUGUAUCAAGUUCAUGCCAAACAUGUUCUAGUACAUUUUGCAAGAUUUCAGAUGCAUCAUUCAAAGUAUCUUUCGCUGAUCAAAUUUCAAGUAAUGGAACCAGUAUUUCAUAAUCAUUGAGGCUUAAGGCUCAAGAAGCAACUCAGGGCAGGCAUAGCCAAAAAGCCCCAAUGAACAAGUUUCAAGCACAGUACAUUCAUGAGAUGGAGAAAUGCAAUCGCUACGAAUGGCUUUCUUACCAUACUCUUAUCCCUUCAUCUGCAUUUGUACAUGUGGGUUCUGAAAUUUUAGCUUUUGAUUUUCACACUUAUCAAAGCCCAUGUGUAAGUUUGCAGGUAGGAAGAGUUAUAGCCUAACUCUUUCGAAGUACUAGCAUCCCUCUAGGUAAAAUUGCUCAGACCCCAGCAAAUUCUAAAUUUCAAAAGUUCAGAGCUGAGAAUAUGAAAUGGAAUAGGGGGAAAAGAAAAGAAAGGUGAGAAAACAGAAGCCCACCAGUGCAGGACAAAAUCUUAUAACAUGGGAGUAAAUUCGGACAUUUUCACCUCAACUCCCUAUUUGACUCAAGGAUGGGCUCCCUUUCUCUUUUUCCUAUCUUUUUUUCCGGUGCAUGUUUUUUGCCACCGCUUAUUAGUUAUUGCCUUCAUCAUAUAGCAAAAGAAGAAUAAAUAUAUCUGAGUUC